CAUGUACAUCUCCGACGAGUUGGAGGGACGGUGAAUC
rnacentral:sRNA from 1 species